AGGCUCCCAGGGGGGUGUGUCUCAGCCCCGGCGCAGUGGCCCGAGUCCUCAUUGCUGGCACUCUAGGAGCUAACGGGUUGGGCGCGAAGGCUGUGGAAUCAGACCUGGGCUCUGGCCUCAGUCCUGCCGUUGUCUUGCUGUGGGAUGCUCGUGAAUCCUGGGGCACUCGGUCUGGUACUCAGUGGGUAACGGCUACAUUAUCACCAUUAUUAUUGUCAUUACUAUUCUUGACAACAAAAGGCAGUUGCCGUGAUGGGUGUUGUUACUAUUAACUUACUUCUCUAGAAAGACAUACACAACAAAGAUACUCGAACCCAUUGAGAAGGAAGAGAAAUACUUUGCAGAGGAACGCCGGAGGAGUUGCGGUUUUCUCCUGACCCAGGAGCCUGGAGACGUGGACCUGCGUUUGCAGGACUCAGAGCCUGACAGGACCGAGGCGCCUUGAUUGCUGGUCAGAGACGGGCUCCGGGCACAGGCGAGAGUCGGUCUCCAUGUGAAAACGGAUAACCUCUGCCCAUAAGGGACCCCGGGACCGCAGCUGUGGUGGCAAUUGCUUCUGGGUCAUCCUCCCUGAGAUGCCAGCGAGCUGGCAGUUCCCAGCCUGGUGCCCCCUGAAGCCCAGCCCUGGCUUGACCACUCGACUGGUGAUUGAGUCCUUUCCUUGUGCUCCUGCAACUUUGCGCCCCCUCCCCAGCCCUCCAUCCAGCUCGGCACAAAGGAGCACACACGAGUGGUUUCCAAAGCGGAAGGGGAGCCAGAACCCAGAGCAGGUCACCAGCACUCUCUCCAAAACGGCCGCCUCUGUGGCCGCGGCGGGGGCGGGGACCCAGCGAUGACAGCAGCGUCUCACCGGGCAGCGCGCGGCCAGGACCAGGACUGGUGUGGCCUGAGUUAACUGAUGUGCCCACACUCGCGCUCGGGCCCCACCGCACACCGUUCCCCGAUCGCCCGGGACCUGCUGGGAGUGCAUCGCCCCAAAGACGGCCGAAAGGCCCACGGGUGUGCUGUAUGCCUUGCGUGGGAGACGACACUGACAACUCCAGCUCUGCCGACCGCUCAUCCAUCGGGGUCUCUAACCCGCUUUGCUGCACCAGGUGCCCGGUCAGAGCAAAGAUACGAAAAAUCCAAAGACGUAACGUGACAGCUGUCUCUGGCUCCCAUGCUGAUUUUAGGAUUUCUGAUCCUAUAUA